AGAGUUUGGAUCAUGGCUCAGAACGAACGCUGGCGGCAUGCCUAACACAUGCAAGUCGAACGAAGUCUUCGGACUUAGUGGCGCACGGGUGCGUAACGCGUGGGAAUCUGCCCUUGGGUACGGAAUAACUCAGAGAAAUUUGUGCUAAUACCGUAUAAUGACUUCGGUCCAAAGAUUUAUCGCCCAAGGAUGAGCCCGCGUGAGAUUAGCUAGUUGGUGAGGUAAAAAGCUCACCAAGGCGACGAUCUCUAGCUGGUCUGAGAGGAUGAUCAGCCACACUGGGACUGAGACACGGCCCAGACUCCUACGGGAGGCAGCAGUGGGGAAUAUUGGACAAUGGGCGAAAGCCUGAUCCAGCAAUGCCGCGUGAGUGAUGAAGGCCUUAGGGUUGUAAAGCUCUUUUACCCGGGAUGAUAAUGACAGUACCGGGAGAAUAAGCUCCGGCUAACUCCGUG
rnacentral:rRNA from 1 species